CGAUAUAGGCUGAACCGAUCGGAACCGACUGGUUUGGGUCUGGUUCACUAUUUGGUCAGUUUUUUGCACGCCCCUACUUAAAAUUAGCCUAGCUAAAACCAUCAGAUGUUGAUUUGGAUCUAGACCUAAAUGUUAGACUUAAAACCAAUUUGGGCUAGAUUUAGAUCCCAAUGUAACCACUUGGAAUGAAAACAACAAUUUUAGAUCUUAGAUGUUGUACAUCAAGUAC
rnacentral:lncRNA from 1 species